rnacentral:rRNA from 1 species
GAUGAACGCUGGCGGCGUGCCUAAUACAUGCAAGUCGAGCGAACAGACGAGGAGCUUGCUCCUCUGACGUUAGCGGCGGACGGGUGAGUAACACGUGGAUAACCUACCUAUAAGACUGGGAUAACUUCGGGAAACCGGAGCUAAUACCGGAUAAUAUAUUGAACCGCAUGGUUCAAUAGUGAAAGACGGUUUUGCUGUCACUUAUAGAUGGAUCCGCGCCGCAUUAGCUAGUUGGUAAGGUAACGGCUUACCAAGGCAACGAUGCGUAGCCGACCUGAGAGGGUGAUCGGCCACACUGGAGCUGAGACACGGUCCAGACUCCUACGGGAGGCAGCAGUAGGGAAUCUUCCGCAAUGGGCGAGAGCUUGACGGAGCAACGCCGCGUGAGUGAUGAAGGUCUUCGGAUCGUAAAACUCUGUUAUUAGGGAAGAACAAAUGUGUAAGUAACUAUGCACGUCUUGACGGUACCUAAUCAGAAAGCCACGGCUAACUACGUG